rnacentral:rRNA from 1 species
AGAGUUUGAUCCUGGCUCAGAUUGAACGCUGGCGGCAUGCCUUACACAUGCAAGUCGAACGGUAACAGGUUAAGCUGACGAGUGGCGAACGGGUGAGUAAUGUAUCGGAACGUGCCCAGUCGUGGGGGAUAACUGCUCGAAAGAGCAGCUAAUACCGCAUACGACCUGAGGGUGAAAGCGGGGGAUCGCAAGACCUCGCGCGAUUGGAGCGGCCGAUAUCAGAUUAGGUAGUUGGUGGGGUAAAAGCCUACCAAGCCAACGAUCUGUAGCUGGUCUGAG